rnacentral:rRNA from 1 species
UGGCGAACGGGGUGAGUAACACGUGGGCAACCUGCCCAAAAGAGGGGGAUAACACUUGGAAACAGGUGCUAAUACCGCAUAACCAUAGUUACCGCAUGGUAACUAUGUAAAAGGUGGCUAUGCUACCGCUUUUGGAUGGGCCCGCGGCGCAUUAGCUAGUUGGUGGGGUAAAGGCUUACCAAGGCAAUGAUGCGUAGCCGAACUGAGAGGUUGAUCGGCCACAUUGGGACUGAGACACGGCCCAAACUCCUACGGGAGGCAGCAG